GUUCUCCCCGCAGGUGCUGCAUGGAGUGAGUGGCGGCAUCCACCGUGAGGAGGAGAGGAGCUCUGAUACCCUCAGGACCCGCCAGGAGGGGCAUCACGGAGGCUUCUGGACGACUUGGAGCUGUGUCCUGGGGAGAAAACCGCUCCUGUCUGGGCCCUGAGUGCUGAGGAGGAAGCUGCCAUGCACUUUUCCCUGGCAUUUUUCCUGCAUGGAGAGAGAGGUCCAAGGUGCCCUACAUCGUGCGUCAGUGCGUGGAGGAGAUCGAGCGCCGAGGCAUGGAGGAGAUAACAAGGACGUGUCAGUGAUGAUGAGCGAGAUGGACGUGAACGCCAUCGCAGGCAUGCUGAAGCUGUACUUCCGUGAGCUGCCCGAGCCCCUCUUCACUGACGAGUUCUACCCCAACUUCGCAGAGGGCAUCGGUGCCCCUCACAGGGUCCUCACUGGCGGCCAGCGCUGUGGGUGUGACGAUGAUGACAAGCCUAAACUGCGCAAGGACUCGUGUCCCUGGCGCUCCAUGUGACCACCUCGGGAGAGGUCUCCGGCUUGUCGUAACCCAGGGGAGUGACCCACUGCCUCCUGCAGCUCUUUCAGACCCAGUUGCAAAGAAGAGCUGCAUGCUCAACCUGCUGUCGUCCCUGCCGGAGGCCAACCUGCUCACCUUCCUUUUCCUUCUAGACCACCUGGAAAGGAUGGCAGAGAAGGAGGCAGUCAAUAAGAUGUCCCUGCACAACCUUGGCACGGUGUUUGGCCCCACGCUGCUCCGGCCCUCCGAGAAGGAGAGCAAGCUCCCUGCCAACCCCAGCCAGCCCAUCACCAUGACUGACAGCUGGUCCUUGGAGGUCAUGUCCCAGAUCCAGAUACCUAAUAAGAUGCUGGAAUGUAAUCCCUGGACAAUCCGUGUCCUGGCAGCAUUUGGUCUUCCUCUAAGCGCCUGGCUCCGCUGUUCUCAGGAGUGGGUUCUGAAGUCUCUGGAGAACAGGAUACGUGGAGGGUUAGGAAGGGGCCAGGCCUAGAGACGGGAGACUCCCUCCCGGAGCAGGUGGAGGCACAGGACCAUUCGCUACCCCAUCUGCCGGCACCUGCGGGGGAGCCCAGGCAUUGUUUGUAAACCCUCCUGACUACCUGACUCAAAGAAAACAGAAGCAUGGAGGCCGCCAAGUAUUUUCAAGAAAUAAUCCCAUGAACGUGGCAUCACUUUUUUAGAAAGAGGGGCUUGGGGCAGGCAGAGGAGAGAAGGGAGAGCAAACUGAGAGCCAAGUUUCCAGACGGUCCUGCAGGAGGAGAGGAUGCAGCUGCGCAGAGGGAAGCAGGAUCACAUUUAAGGAAGUGUGUGGGGUCCCUGGAUGACACCAGCACCCAGUACGGCUCUGUCUGGCAACCGCUCCCAAGGUGGCAGGAGUGGGUGUCCCCUGUGUGUCAGUGGGCAGCUCCUGCUGAGCCCGCAGCUCACUGGGGAGCCUGACAGCGGGGCCAUGUGCCUGACACUCCUCUCUGCUUGUGGACCUGGCAAGGCAGGGAGCAGAAAACAGAGCCACUUGAAGGCUUUCUGUCUGCGUCUGUGUGCAGUGUGGAUUUAGUUGUGCUUUUUUCUUGCUGGGAGAGCACAGCCACCAUUUACAAGCAGUGUCACCCUCGUGGGUGGCGAGGACAGAACAGGAGCCUCUGCUCUCUGUACCUAUCUGGGCCCGGUGGGCUCCCUUGUCCUGGCUUCCAUCUCUGUCUCAGCAACCAUUCAGCCCUGCGCAGGAACACGUGUUGCUUAGAAAAGCCAAAUCCAGCCUUGUCUCUGCCUCCUCUGGUCUCAUGAUGUGCAUCUGUUACCUUGAAACUGGAAACCAGUCUAUCAAUGUCUGUGCCAAUUUUUUAUUCCCUCCCCAACCUCCUUCCCCAUACGACUUUUUAUUUAUGUAGGAUGUGUGCUGUCUAAUGAUGGGAUGACCACACUUUUCCAUGUUCUAAAAGUGCUCCUCUCCCGCAGGGUCCCAGGGCUGGUGGUUGCUUUGGGUCUACAGCUACGUCUUACCCGCCUCCUGCCUCAACAGCCUGUGUGGUGGCAAAGCCGGUGUGGGGCUGGGGAACGCAGCGUUCUCCAGGAGGGGGACCCGGCUCUCCUUCUGCAAUGCAGGCGAAGGCCUAGAUGCCAGUGUGACCUCCCACAAGGCGUGGCUUCCAGACUCCCCGGCCGGAAGUGAUGCUUUUUUGCCGUGGGCCCUGGGUUUGAAGCAGCCUGGCUUUCUCUUGGUAAGUGGCUGGUGUCUUAGCAGCUGCAAUCUGAGCUCAGCCACCUACACACCACCGUGGCCGACACUUUCAUUAAGAAGUUUCCUGAGACGA